AACGAACGCUGGCGGCAUGCCUAACACAUGCAAGUCGAACGAGACCUUCGGGUCUAGUGGCGCACGGGUGCGUAACGCGUGGGAGCCUGCCUUUAGGUUCGGAAUAACUCAGAGAAAUUUGAGCUAAUACCGGAUGAUGUCUUCGGACCAAAGAUUUAUCGCCUUUAGAUGGGCCCGCGUUGGAUUAGCUAGUUGGUGGGGUAAAGGCCUACCAAGGCGACGAUCCAUAGCUGGUCUGAGAGGAUGAUCAGCCACACUGGGACUGAGACACGGCCCAGACUCCUACGGGAGGCAGCAGUGGGGAAUAUUGGACAAUGGGCGAAAGCCUGAUCUAGCAAUGCCGCGUGAGUGAUGAAGGCCUUAGGGUUGUAAAGCUCUUUUACCCGAGAUGAUAAUGACAGUAUCGGGAGAAUAAGCGCCGGCUAACUCCGUG
rnacentral:rRNA from 1 species